rfam:Ailuropoda melanoleuca scaffold1133_10, whole genome shotgun sequence.
GCCUGGUUGGCUCAGUGGGUGGAGCGUGCAACUCUUGAUCUUGGGAUUGUGAGUUCGAGCCCCACACUGGGUG